rnacentral:rRNA from 1 species
AUUGAACGCUGGCGGCACGCUUAACACAUGCAAGUCGAACGGCAGCACGAAGGGGUAACUCUUUGGUGGCGAGUGGCGAACGGGUGAGUAACGCGUAGGGAUCUGCCUGUUAGAGGGGGGAUAAGCCGGGGGAAACUCGGUCUAAUACCGCAUACGCUCUACGGAGGAAAGUAUGGGAUUUAAUUACCAUACGCUAACAGAUGAACCUGCGUUAGAUUAGCUAGUUGGUAGGGUAAAGGCCUACCAAGGCGACGAUCUAUAGCUGGUCUGAGAGGAUGACCAGCCACACUGGGAACUGAGAGACGGACCAGACUCCUACGGGAGGCAG